GACUCUCGGCAACGGAUAUCUCGGCUCUCGCAUCGAUGAAGAACGAAGCGAAAUGCGAUACUUGGUGUGAAUUGCAGGAUCCCGUGAACCAUCGAGUCUUUGAACGCAAGUUGCGCCCGAAGCCUUCUGGCCGAGGGCACGUCUGCCUGGGUGUCACGCA
rnacentral:rRNA from 1 species